CGUAGGUGGCUAACUUAACAUCUAGUCAAAGACAAGGAAAAUAGCCUUUUUUAUCUAGAUUAAUUUGUUAGCUUGAGUGUUUUAGGUGGCUUAUACAUUCUCGAAGUAAGAGUGAAAUUGUUGAUAACUGGAAGAUGUUCAAAGGCGGAAGCGAUCGCAAUUAGACUCUGACACUGAGGCACUAAGGCGUGGGGAUCAAAACGGAUUAGAGACCGUGUAGUCCACGCAUUAAACAUGGGUGUUCAAUAUCCUGGGUAUUUCAAAGGAAUCUUGGGGAAUUUACAGCUAACGCGUCAAACACCCCGCUGGGGAAUGUGGCCGCAAGGUUUAAACUCAACGGAAUUGACGGUGGCUCAUACAAGG
rnacentral:rRNA from 1 species